GUAAAAGCUUUACUUUUGUGCCCUGUCUCCUGCGGAGCCGCUAUUCCCCAUGGUCCUUUCAGGAACCCCAGCAUCCACUUAGGACGAUAGAGAAAAUUGAAUAUUUUUCACUCAAUCCAUGCUGUAAUCAUCUGUACAGAUUAUUUGAAACCUCAAUGUAGGAUCAGUUCCUGAAAGUUAUGUUCGACCUGGAGAAGGUUACUUUUUCAUCCAGCUUUACGCAAGACAUUGUGGCAGAAAAGGAGUGCAAUUGCGCAGAGUCCCAGAUGAGGCUCCCUUAUAUGGAAUCCAAAACCUGCAAGAUCCGACGCUGGAUGAAAACAAUAUUGUGAUGUGGUCAAAAUUGACUGGAAAUGAGUGGAAAUUAAUGUUGUUGAGGUUAAUAGUACUGUAGGGGGGAAAAAGGCCCACAUUAUGUGAUUUUAGCUGUUUUUAUGAUUUUUUAAAAAAAAUACAGAUCCAGAAUAAAUACAGAACCAAAACUCACAGGGGAGAUUUUGUCAAAACAAAUACAGAUCCAAAACACGAAAGAGAUACAGAUCCAAAACAAGAAACCAAAACCCAAGAUUUGGGCCAGCGCACAUCUCUAUAAUUAGGUAACCUGUGCUCAAAGAGAGUAUGGUGGUCCUUAAAAUCAGACUGGGGGAAUUCAAUUACAUGUAAAGGGGGCAAAUCAGCUGUUUCAACACUGGCAAUGGCAGCCUAAUCUGCCCCCUUUGCCUGGCUGGCCAAAUGCCAGAUUUGCCUAAAAGUGCUUGCUGCCUAUGGCGCAGCAAGCACUUUUGAGCGAGAUCCCUGCUGGCGUAAAGUGUGGCAGUGCAACACUGGGCAAAUCCGCCUGCACUUAAUUAAAUUUCCCCUUAGUGUGCAUUGAGGAGCGUGGUUAGAAACCAUUGAUCUACGCUGUAUGAACGUUGUGUUUCCUCAUAUAGAUGUCACUGGCAAAGCAGGGGUAUGGGCCAGUAGCCGACCUAUAUAUAAUUCCCUUUAGAAGUUGCAACAGUAUUUGUAUUAUUAUUUAACCAGUUGAGACUGUGAAAUUAGAAAAAUGUACAAUAGCUAACUCAAAUUUCUGGAAAGAAAUUUUUAAAAUAGUUAAGCCUAGGAGAGUGAUAAAGUGGAAAACAGAGAUAAAAAAAGUAUCAGCCAAUUAGGUUCUAACUGCUGUGUUGGGAUGCAGUUAAAAUGCCUGUUGUCGGGAUCCCAGCGUUCAUGUUACCAACUCCGGAAUCCCGACAGCCGGCAUUAUACCGGCGCACAGAAUUCCAAAACCCGCUCGUAUUUCCCUCUCGGUUGGUGGGCCCAUGCCACCUAUCAAGUGGGAAUAGAACCUGUAGCGAGCGCAGCAAGCCACCAGACACGAAGAGCGGCGAGCACAGUGAAGGGAUGCCGCUGUUGCUAUACUGACAGCCAGCAUCCCGUCUGCCUGUAUUUUAUACCAGUUUCUCUGUGUUACAAUGCCAUUCACGCUGCUAAUUAUUAGUGAAGUAAUCAAGCUAAACUAAUUCAGAAGUGGCCACCAGCUUUUCCAUAUAUAUUUUAUUAUUUUAAUUCAUUGUUACGCCGGCCGUGUGAUUAAUGUCUGUAUGUUAUGUAAUGUAAAAUAAAUGUUUUGUGUUUUGAAAAUUUA